ACAGUUACCUGGCAGAGACGAUNCCAUCCAUGGGCAAGUAGGUGGUUUUCCUCGGGUGAGGCUCAUCCAUGGCACUCAGGGUGUUGCUGACCUCUGUGAUUUCCCCACAUGGGGUAAACUUGACUGUAUAAUUUGUGGUAGGGAGGGGUGUGUUUGUGCUUUAGUCUA
rnacentral:snRNA from 1 species